rnacentral:rRNA from 1 species
ACGCUCGACACCUACGGGAGGCNGCAGUGGGGGAUAUUGCACAAUGGAGGAAACUCUGAUGCAGCGACGCCGCGUGAGGGAAGAAGGUUUUCGGAUUGUAAACCUCUGUCUUCGGUGACGAAAAUGACGGUAGCCGAGGAGGAAGCCACGGCUAACUACGUGCCAACAGCCGCGGUAAUCUGAGCGGGCUGGCAAGGC